UUGCUAGAUUUGCAAUUGAAUAUCUCCUCAAGAAUUCCCAAACUAUUAUAGAAGGUCUUUCUUUCUCUCUCUAAAACCCUAGUUAGUGAGAGAAAGUAUUGAUCUAAGACAUUUCAAGGGUUUUAAGGUGAAAGAGUGAAAGAGCAUAAGAGGUUCUAUAAAAAAAAUGCACAAAAGCAUGAAAAUGAAGGCUAACUUGAGAGAGUUAUGGAAGCUUGAAGAGUACUCCCAUGGAAGGUGAAGAAAUG
rnacentral:lncRNA from 1 species